CCCUAGCCCUGAUAGAAGAGGAAAUCCUUUUGUGUCGGUGUUCGGCACAAAAGAUUGGAACGGAUAGCAGGAAACAGC
rnacentral:sRNA from 1 species